CAACAUAGGUACUAUUUGGACACUAGAAGAAUACUAUUUUAAUUUAAGUAUUUUUACUAGCUAUGAUCACGUUUGGCUCGUAAUCAUUUUGCCGUGUUCAGUAACUAUAAUGAUUCAUAGAAUCAUCUUACAAAACUGGGGAGCGAUGAUUCCCUUAAUUAUCCUAGCAUUUUAUUUCCGAGGGCAAAUCCUGGACCUUUUACAAAAGAAGGACACUUGGGCGGUGGCAGCGGUGUUACUCUGUUUCACUAUGGUCUCUGGAUACACGUGGAAUAAGAUGAGGAAACCUGUAUUUUCUCACAAGACCAACGAAGGCCCUGUUUUCAUUAGUAGUGGAAAGAAAAAACAAUUCUUGGCCGAGAGUUACAUAGUGGCUGUUUUGAAUGGCGCGAUAGUGCUAGGCAUGAUACUGACCAUAGAGGCGGCGGGAGGAGUGAGGACGGAAAGAGGCAAAAGAAAGAGACGGAAGCUCCAAAUGCUGGCGGGCAUCGGGCUGAUGUUUGCGUCCUUCGCCGUUCUUCUGUCUGCAUUUAGAAUCAAGAUGCCGUGGUAUCCAUAUGGUUUCUAAAUGAACUGCAUCGAGCUUGGUUAGUAAAAUGGGCGGAUGUCGUCUUUCAACAAAUAAAAAAAUAUAUUUUGAGUAACAUUUUAUUAAUGUAAUUUCAUCUCAGCAGCUUAAAACAUUCAAUAGUUUACUGUUUUCUAAAUCUCUAGCACCAGUGCCCCGCGAUAGCAAAUCGCGAGUGAGAAACACUACUAGAAAAAUGUCGCGGUGCACUCGUGCUAGGAGUACUUAACACGUUUAAAUUAAUCCUUUAACUGCCUCGGUCGGCCAUAGUCGACAAAAGUUACAGUAUAAUAAACGUUUAUAUAAAAUAGUUGUAGUGGUCAAAAGGUUAAUAAACCCAAAAUAUUAUAAACAUUCGAUCGUUUUCCAUCAGUCUUAUCAUUAUCUUAACAUUACACUUGGUACAGUCAGCAGCAACAGAUGCUAAGCGGGCGAGGUGUUCAAAAUUACCUUGACACGCUCUUAGGGCUCUUAGGCCACUUGCACCAUUCUAGUAACCUGGAGUUACCAUGGUUACCAGUACAAUUUGACACUGGGUUAACGGUUUAACCACUUAACCCCGGGUUAGUGGAAUGGUGCAAGCGGCCCUUAUUCUCUUAACACAUUCGACACCGCGUACCCGACUCUCGGGCACUCGUAAACUUUACUCAGAUGCCGGCAUACCCGCUAGUCGGGCAAGAGCUAUAAACCUACACGCGACGCCGAAGUGCCCGACAGGCGGGCAAGCAUUAUUUGCAUCUUCACUACCUCAGGGCUGCCACUGCCACUAACAGAAAAAAUUGCAAGUCUUCUGAUUAUUAUGUGGUCGAAAAGUUGGUACAGUUGAUUAUUAUAUUUUAUUACUUCACUUUGUAUUUUUAUUUACUUUACCUAAUGCGAUUACAAAAUAAAAAUUCUUAUUAGUUGGUUACGUGAAAUUGCAUACACGGGUAUGUAUCAAUAGGAGUUAGAAUUAGGAGAAGAACAAAACGGGGAGCCUAAACAGAUGAGACAGCAGAUUUAAUUUUAUCCACGUACUUAUACGGAAGUUACUUGGCACAGCCCUGAGCGUCCGCCGCUUGCCCGACUAGCGGGUUCGCGGCGUGCGGCAUUGAGUUGCACGUCGUUGCCCGACUAGCGAGUACUGUCGGUUUCUGGGGUAUUGUUUGAAAUUUUGCCUGGUUGCGAAAGUGUUAACAAUAAAGUCGCGUAGAGAUCAUAGUGAACACCUGGCCCGCUUAGCAACUUCUGCUGCUGACUGUACGAGACGAGACCUCCCUAUAGGGAAGCCUAUAGGCUUGCCACUUAACUGAGUCGGUCCAUGAAAGACUGCUGUACGGUCGAGUUAAAUUUCACUACACCUUAUAAAACAAAGUCCCCCUCCGCGUCUGUCUAUUUGUGUGCAUGUAUGUUCGCAAUAAACUCAAAUACCUA